UGCCAGCCGCCGCGGUAAUACGGAGGGGGUUAGCGUUGUUCGGAAUUACUGGGCGUAAAGCGUACGUAGGCGGAUCAGAAAGUAUGGGGUGAAAUCCCAGGGCUCAACCCUGGAACUGCCUCAUAAACUCCUGGUCUAGAGUUCGAGAGAGGUGAGUGGGAUUCCGAGUGUAGAGGUGAAAGUCGUAGAUAUUCGGAGGAACACCAGUGGCGAAGGCGGCUCAAUGGCUCGAUACUGACGCUGAGGUGCGAAAGUGUGGGGAGCAAACCGGAUUAGAUA
rnacentral:rRNA from 1 species